rnacentral:rRNA from 1 species
GAUGAACGCUGGCGGCGUGCCUAAUACAUGCAAGUCGAGCGAACGGACGAGAAGCUUGCUUCUCUGAUGUUAGCGGCGGACGGGUGAGUAACACGUGGAUAACCUACCUAUAAGACUGGGAUAACUUCGGGAAACCGGAGCUAAUACCGGAUAAUAUUUUGAACCGCAUGGUUCAAAAGUGAAAGACGGUCUUGCUGUCACUUAUAGAUGGAUCCGCGCUGCAUUAGCUAGUUGGUAAGGUAACGGCUUACCAAGGCAACGAUGCAUAGCCGACCUGAGAGGGUGAUCGGCCACACUGGAACUGAGACACGGUCCAGACUCCUACGGGAGGCAGCAGUAGGGAAUCUUCCACAAUGGGCGAAAGCCUGACGGAGCAACGCCGCGUGAGUGAUGAAGGUCUUCGGAUCGUAAAACUCUGUUAUUAGGGAAGAACAUAUGUGUAAGUAACUGUGCACAUCUUGACGGUACCUAAUCAGAAAGCCACGGCUAACUACGUGCCAGCAGCCGCGGUAAUACGUAGGAAGCAAGCGUUAUCCGGAAUUUAUGGGCGUAAAGCGCGCGUAGCGGUUUUUUAGUCUGAUGUGAAAGCCCACGGCUCAACCGUGGAGGGUCAUUGGAAACUGGAAAACUUGAGUGCAGGAGAGGAAAGUGGAAUUCCAUGUGUAGCGGUGAAAUGCGCAGAGAUAUGGAGGAACACCAGUGGCGAAGGCGACUUUCUGGUCUGUAACUGACGCUGAUGUGCGAAAGCGUGGGGAUCAAACAGGAUUAGAUACCCUGGUAGUCCACGCCGUAAACGAUGAGUGCUAAGUGUUAGGGGGUUUCCGCCCCUUAGUGCUGCAGCUAACGCAUUAAGCACUCCGCCUGGGGAGUACGACCGCAAGGUUGAAACUCAAAGGAAUUGACGGGGACCCGCACAAGCGGUGGAGCAUGUGGUUUAAUUCGAAGCAACGCGAAGAACCUUACCAAAUCUUGACAUCCUUUGACAACUCUAGAGAUAGAGCCUUCCCCUUCGGGGGACAAAGUGACAGGUGGUGCAUGGUUGUCGUCAGCUCGUGUCGUGAGAUGUUGGGUUAAGUCCCGCAACGAGCGCAACCCUUAAGCUUAGUUGCCAUCAUUAAGUUGGGCACUCUAAGUUGACUGCCGGUGACAAACCGGAGGAAGGUGGGGAUGACGUCAAAUCAUCAUGCCCCUUAUGAUUUGGGCUACACACGUGCUACAAUGGACAAUACAAAGGGCAGCGAAACCGCGAGGUCAAGCAAAUCCCAUAAAGUUGUUCUCAGUUCGGAUUGUAGUCUGCAACUCGACUACAUGAAGCUGGAAUCGCUAGUAAUCGUAGAUCAGCAUGCUACGGUGAAUACGUUCCCGGGUCU